GUGAAGAGCCAAAUAAGAGAGACAGGCUCAGUAGAAGGUCUGGGAGAAGUGAUCAGAAAGUUCCAGUAUCAUGGUCCUGUGGAUGAGCUGCCUAAGAGAGGAGUAAGGAGAGUCUUGCUGAGAUAAUGGGAGAGACUCCAGUACCAAGUGAAAAUCAAAGCUUAAGCAAAAAAUUCAUAGUGUUUCAACAACUCUGAAGAACUGUUACUUCAUUCACUGUCAAUGGCUUGAACUGGAGACUAAAAGCAUAAGGGCUGAUAUUUUUUGGCCGAAGAAAAAUAGACUCAUGUACUACACACACGGACAUAAAUCUAACAUUACUGCAGGAAUAACACUUGCUUUAAAACUUGCUUCUGCAUAGAUGAGCUGAAGAAGAGGAAGUGACCCAAACACAAAAGGAAGCUGUAUUACAGUGCCAUGUCCUGUCUCCCUCCUUUGCCUUGCUGCUACAGGGCACAAUGUUAAGGAAUGUGCAAGGAGGUGGUUAUACCCUGUAGUAAUAAAGAUUGAAGUUUAACUUUUAAACUGUACCUGACAUGAAACAAUACAAGUCAAAUGUAAUUUUUACCCUUCACAUGAUCCUACUGAGAUGCUGUUCUUCAGCUGAGCUUUGGGAACAGCAAGAGUUCAGAACUGUCACUGUGUACUGACACUCUCCCAGUUUGAAACAGAGGCCACAUUUAAGCAACGAGUAUAAGAUCAUCUUCUACUAUUACACAGCAAAGGAGAG